rnacentral:rRNA from 1 species
GGAUGAAAGCCUGUGGGUUGUAAACCUCUUUUCUCAAGGAAGAAAUUUUGACGGUACUUGAGGAAUAAGCAUCGGCUAACUCUGUGCCAGCAGCCGCGGUAAUACAGAGGAUGCAAGCGUUAUCCGGAAUCACUGGGCAUAAAGCGUCUGUAGGUGGCUUAUCAAGUCUGCUGUUAAAGACUAGGGCUUAACCCUGGGAAAGCAGUGGAAACUAGUAAGCUUGAGUGUGGUAGGGGUAGAGGGAAUUCCUGGUGUAGCGGUGAAAUGCGUAGAUAUUAGGAAGAACACCAAUGGCCAAAGC